UACGUAGGGAGCAAGCGUUGUUCGGAUUUACUGGGCGUAAAGAGUGCGUAGGCGGUUUUCUAAGUUUGGUGUGAAAUCUCCCGGCUCAACUGGGAGGGUGCGCCGAAGACUGGAAGGCUUGAGUAUGGGAGAGGUAAGCGGAAUUCCUGGUGUAGCGGUGAAAUGCGUAGAUAUCAGGAGGAACACCUGCGGUGUAGACGGCUUACUGGACCAUAACUGACGCUGAGGCACGAAAGCGUGGGUAGCAAACAGG
rnacentral:rRNA from 1 species